rnacentral:lncRNA from 1 species
UUGUGUGUUUGAUUUUGGUAUUGAUCUUUCCGUUGUCUGUUUUUUGUUUGCUUGUUUGCUGUUGUUGUUGUUGUAGGUCUCAAGGAAUCCAACCCAGGGCCUCUAGCAUGCUAAGCAGUAAGUACAAGUUCUAUCAUGGUUGAGCUGUUCCCCAUCCUCUGGCCAUCACUUUUUUUUUUUUUUCCUAUGGACCUCUAGUUCUGGCUGAGGAAGAAGGAAUGGAGCAGUUUUGGGAGAGGGGGGAGAAGAAGGAAGGUCAGAACUUGUUUGUGGUUUGUUGUUGUUGUUACUAGGACUUGACAAAGGGACACUUUGCCACAGAGUCACUUCCCCAGCUCUUUUUUAUUAUUUAUUUAUAUAUUUAUUAUUUACUUUGAAACAAGUUCUCACUGAGUUAUGUGGAGCCUUACUCAAUUACUGAAGAUGGCCUUGAACUUGGAGAUCUUCCCAUCUUUCUCAGCCAUCAGAGUCUCUAGGAUGAUAGAAGAAAUGGGCCACCAUGCCUGAUCUUUUGUUAUCUUACACUCCGUGCUAGAAGCAAUGAAUGGAGAGACACUACUUUCACCACUGGUUGAGAUGUUUCAGUGUUGUGAAGACAGGAAAAUAAUCAAAGAUGUGGAUGUUAGUGAUAGUGGUAAUAUAUGGUCGGUGGUGGUUACUUAGGAACAAGAACCAAGGAGCCUGAGCAUGGGAAAGAAACACCUGUCAAUCAGCAGAGUCUUCUGGCCAAUCCUGGAUUUCAUCCAGUUUCACCAACCAACUUUACCAGGAUAAGAGACUCUAAAAACACCUUUUCCUGUCCCAAGCCCUUCCCUUCCUGCCUUAAGCCCCAUAAACUUCCAGUCCCAUGGAGCUCCCACCCGUUUUCUCCUGUGACUCUUCUCCUGUUUACUCUGUCUGUCUGAUCAAGUUCUGCCCUGGAGCAUCAUCUCAAAUAAAGCCUCAUUCAGCGGCCUUUUAAAAUCUGUCUCCUUUGGUCAACAUCCAUUGCUGGACCUCACACCCUCCCCUACCAGAAAAAAUAAAAUAAAAACACAAAGCAUUGAGAGGGCCUGCUAGGGGUGUUAAUUCCAUGUGAUUUCUGCCCAGUCCUCUGAAUGUCAAAGUGAAGAAAUUCAGUGAAGUGCAGUUAAACGGAGGGAGUAACUAUGAUAAUCUUAAGGCCCUCAAAUGCCUCCUCUUCUAAUUAGUGAUGCAUGAAUAGAUGAAAAAGAUUCCCACUUUCUCUAUGUACUAUCCAGCAAAACCACAGCCAAAGGAAUGGGCUCUGCAGACCCAGUGAGGAAAGAACUGUAGAAACAAAGAACCAGAAAGAAGCCCAGCUUGCCCCCCAUGCCCCCCAAAGGGCUCUAUUUUUUCUUCCUCAGCCAGAGCUGGAAGUCCAAAGAACAAUAACAACAAUAACAAAACAAACAAUCAAAAAUAACAACAACAAAAACAUGACAGCCAGCAGUGUUGGAAACAGCACAGUCAAGAUAGAGUUUAAAGGAGCUUAGUGUGCCAGAUCCCCUGGGUUGGUUUCUUUGGGACCUACAACAAAGAAACUAAAGAAAUACCAAUCCACCCUGCCCCCAAGGAAAAGAAAACGAACCACAGUAGAUGCAUUCCAUUCUCCCCCCUUAAUGGACUAUCUAGUACCACAGAUUUUGAACUCAGAGCUCUUCUGCUGAAAGGAAAUGAUAAAGCUUGGUUUAGUGGCAGAAGCCUGUCGCUGGAGGAAAGAUCACUUGAGAUGAAUUUGUGACCCAACCACAUAGAGACCCCAGUCUACAAACAAGCCAGCAUGCCAGCUUAAAAUUCAAAGGAAGAUCAGAUUGUUUUUAAUGACUUGAAGGCUUAUUCUGUCAUGUAUUACUCUUCAUCUCUGAUCAGUUCUUGGGAGACCCAAAGUAUCAGGAGGUGGGGGUGUGGUUGUCACUUAAUGGUAGAGUUCUUGCCUAGCACGUGUGAGGCACUGGGUUUGAUUCUCAGCACCAUGUAAGAAUAAAUAAGACAAAAUUAUUGUGUCCAUGUGAUAGUAGGAGCAAAUGUGACUCCAUUUUGUUUUAUGACUUCAUCCUGUAAAACAACCAUGCCAAGUAGAAGAGCCAUGACUGGGGCAAGAUGUUCUUUUCCUUUUGCUAUAGAAAUCUUUAAGAACACAAAACUACCUAAUUGGGGUAUUGUUUCUGUAACUAGGGUAACGGGGCUCUGUUUCUGUAACUGGGGUGACUGGGCUAACUGUGAUUGUUUAGGCUUCCCUCCACUUGACUGCACUCUCCUGCUUCUGUAACCUGGCUUGCUUGCAUUGGCUGGACCCCAUGAACAUCCCUUUUGCAGUUUUCAGGCUUAUAAGGAGUGCCCUUGCAAUUGUUCGGGGCUGAUCAGGGGAAUGGCUUUAUGUUCUGGUCAGCCACCAGCAGUGUGCUUCAAUUAAGGCUUGAUUCAAUUAUAUGUGAGUGGUCUGGAAGUCAGUUUUUGAAACCCUGAGAUGAAGCUUUAACUAUAACAUCCAUCUCUAACUAAAAAUAAAUAAAUGAAUGAAUAAAUAAUUUAAGGUUUGA